UACAGAGGGUGCAAGCGUUAAUCGGAAUUACUGGGCGUAAAGCGCACGUAGGUGGCUUGAUAAGUUGGGUGUGAAAUCCCCCGGGCUUAACCUGGGAAUUGCAUUCAAGACUGUCUUUGCUAUAGUGUGGAAGAGGGAAGCGGAAUUCCAGGUGUAGCGGUGAAAUGCGUAGAUAUCUGGAGGAACAUCAGUGGCGAAGGCGGCUUCCUGGUCCAACACUGACACUGAGGUGCGAAAGCGUGGGGAGCAAACAGG
rnacentral:rRNA from 1 species